rnacentral:rRNA from 1 species
AUUGAACGCUGACGGCAGGCCUAACACAUGCAAGUCGAACGAGUGGCGGACGGGUGAGUAAUGUCUUGGAAACUGCCUGAUGGAGGGGGAUAACUACUGGAAACGGUAGCUAAUACCGCAUACCAUCCGAUUUGCCCAGAGGGGAUUUGCUUGUUGGUGGGGUAACGGCUCACCAAGGCGACGAUCCCUAGCUGGUCUGAGAGGAUGACCAGCCACACUGGGACUGAGACACGGUCCAGACGCAUACGGGAGGCAGCAGUGGGGAAUAUGGCACAAUGGGCGCAAGCCUGAUGCAUCCAUGCCGCGUGUAUGAAGAAGGCCUUCGGGUUGUAAAGUACUUUCAGCUGGGAGGCGUUACCCGCAGAAGAAGCACCGGCUAACUCCGUGCCAGCAGCCGCGGUAAUAC